GGAAGAGGAUUUUAACUCAUGAAUUGCAUCUACUUUUUUUUCUUCAUUCUUUGACGAGAUGAUUUAAAUGUUUGCGACUUGGGAGACAUCAUUCACAUUAUCCGUGAAUUAACAUGCCUUAUUCGAAUCUAAUAUUGGUAAUUUAUUGCUUUACUUCUUGGAGCCGAGGAGGACAAGAAAUGAUUCUUCAUGCUUGGAAAAAAGAGUACUUGAAUGCUCUGAAAAACAUGUCUGAAUCCGUUAUGUCAGAUCCCGUUACAAGAAUGUCAGAGGAUUAAAUAUAUCCAACUGGAAUGGAGUGUUUAUCACAUCUUCAGAAUUCCGUGCGAGUCCGACGUAAAAAGGAUAUCUUCAAUUAUUCGCAAGGUUCAUCCUACAAUGGCUGUGUUAGACAGCAUUUGAAAAAGUGAAAGGUGAAAUACGACCCGUAAAUUCUUAUCUGAAUUUCGGCAUUCUUCCAUCUUUCAACAUCGUGUUCG